GUAGGUGAACCUGCGGAAGGAUCAUUUCCAAAAAAAACAUACUCUAUCCACCCACCAUGUGCACUGUUUUGGGUUUUUUACUCUCUCUUUCUUUCCCUGGGCGCGUGUGCGGGCGCAUGCUCUGUCAUACCGCGUGUAUACAUACAUAUGUAUACGUGCGGCAUCGGAUGGAUGUGCGUCCACAUGCACACGUGUCUAUGAAGGGGGGAGAGGAGAGAGGCCUUGAUGAACUACCCUUUCUUUUUUUUUUGUUUUCUUCCAAAAAAAGAAAAUAAAAAAAGAGAAAAAAAGGUUGAUGUCACCGUGGUGCGAUAUUUGUUGCUUCCCCUUUUGUACAUGUGCGUCUCGAUAACACGAGGCCGCCAUGCACGCAACACGAAUGAUACGACAACUUUUAACGGUGGAUCUCUUGGCUCGU
rnacentral:misc_RNA from 1 species